GAUGAAGAACGUAGUGAAAUGCGAUAAGUAGUGUGAAUUGCAGAAUUCAGUGAAUCAUCGAAUCUUUGAACGCACAUUGCGCCCCUUGGUAUCCCGAGGGGCAUGCCUGUUCGAGCGUCAUUUCACCACUCAAGCCUGGCUUGGUGUUGGGCGACGUCCUCUUUGGGGACGCGCCUCGAAACGCUCGGCGGCGUGGCACCGGCUUUAAGCGUAGCAGAAUCUUUCGCUUUGGAAGUCGGGGCCCCGUCUGCCGGAAGACCUGCUCGCAAGGUUGACCUCGGAUCAGGCAGGGAUACCCGCUGAACUUAAGCAUAUCAAUAACGGAGGA
rnacentral:misc_RNA from 1 species